GGAAUAUUUCUGAUAUAAUAUUUUGAAUAGUCUCUCUAUGCUAUUAGUGUUUUUAUCAGGUCCUUUCCCCCUCCCCAUGAUUUUGGGAGCUUAAUCUCUAGAGAAUUUCCCAGAAGUCUUAGUCAUGCUCAUUCUUUUUUUCUUUUAACUUCAUAAGUAAUGUUUGAAUGUAGUAUCCAUCACCUUUCCCCCAUCUGUAAUAUUAAUCUCAGCAAUAACCAUUCACUAAUACUUCCUUUAUUCAUUCAUUCUGUUUGGUUAAGUAUUUUAAUAAUGCCUUCCACUGAGUGUUUCCAUUCAUUAUUUUUCAUUUCCAACAAUUUUUUCUUUUAAGGAUCUUAAAUUUCUUGCCCUAUUCUAGUUCAGUUUUGCUGACGUUUUUCUUUUUACUGCUUCCUCCCCAGGUUCUGAAUUAAGAAGGAGUCUAAUCAGAAAUGCAGUGCCUGAGGACCCACUGUGUGCUCUGUAAAAACCUCACUCACAGCAGAGGUGAGUGGCCAGGAGGAGAGACGUGACCAGCAGCAGGUGAAACAAAGUCCCCAAUCUCUGACAGUCUGGGAAGGAGGAACCACAGUUCUGAACUGCAGUUAUGAGGACAGUGCUUUUGACUACUUCCCAUGGUAUCGGCAGUUCCCUGGGGAAGGCCAUAUAUUCAGGAUCCAGUAAAAAGAAAGAUGGACGAUUCACAGUCUUCCUCAGGAAAAGUGAGAAACAGCUCUCCUUGCACAUCGAAGACUCUCAGCCUGGAGACUCAGCCACCUACUUCUGUGUAGCAAGGGCACAGUGCUCUCCACACACCUGCAGCCCAGACCCAAACCUGCAGCAGAGGCUCCAGCAAAGCCCUGCUGCGGGCUGAGCCUGGCAGAGAUGCACAGGAUUUGUCAUGUGCAGGAGCAGGUGAAGAGGUCACUCAGUGAGUGUGAGGAUUAGACCAUUGGUCCAGAGACAGACCAAGCUGGAGUCAUGGCUUGCUUUCUCUCUUCUCCCUCGAGAGCAGCUGGCAUCUUCCAUCCAUUCCCUUAGCUAGUUUAGAUGAACCACUUUGCUGUGUAGUUGUAUAAUUAGUUCUCUGUGUGAUUGGUUUGUGGAAACUAUAAAUUACAGAGGCUGUCUCCCUGCACUCUUGUCAACAGUGUUCUGAAUGUGUGGUGUUAUAGUGCAGUGUCAAGAGACAUUGACUUUGGUCUUGGGAUAGAAAUAAUGUAGAAUUUUCUUUUACCAUCAAUUUCCUCGGAUGACCAGAGUAGUGGUGAUUCACAUGACCACUUCCUCUUGUUUUGCCUCUCAUAUCCUCAUCUAUCUCCAACAAAUUCAAGUAUGCAAAGCAGGAGGUUUUCACAAGGAUGCAGUAGUGUCCACAAUAGACAGAUGACAUCAGUGGGGAAGGAAGAGUUCAAUUUCCUCAUGUAGUGAAAAUGUGUAACCUUCACUAAAGAAAUAAUUUCACAUGUAUAUUUCAUAGAUGAAGAAAAUAUCAAAUGGAUGUAAAAUUUCUAUCAUAUAAAAUCAGCUUCCAUGUUUAUGGCCAUCUGCAAUGCACAGAAUUGAAAAAGGACCUCUCAUUGCAUAAUACUUUGCUAGCUUUACUCAUUUGGUGCUGUAGAAAUAAAUGCCAACCAGGUUUUUAAUGGAAAAACUUUCAUUGUCUUAUAAGUUUAAAUAUUUUCUUGUCAUAGAGUUGAUGUUGUGGUAGCCCUAAACUACCUAGGAAGCUAAGUGAGGAGGAAUGUGAGCCUAGGAUUGGGAAUCUAGCCUUGGCAACAUAGUAGAACUCUUUCUCAGGAAAACAAAAUGAACAAACGCACUGUGGAAGAUGUUUAAUGUAAGAAUGUGAAGGCUAUAAAUUCUCUUACUCUCAUCCACAGUGAAUAGAUUUUCAGUAUCAAAAAGGGAAAAUUACAAAGGAAAAUAAAGCCAGUUGGCUUUUAGCCAAGAGAUAUAUCUCAAAAUACCAAUAAGUGACCUUCCAGGGUCCUUCAAAAUCUUCUCUCCUUAUUUUAAACUAGAGUCAGAAAUUGCAAACAGCAUUUGUAUCUGAUUGGGGUAGGAUUCACAGAACAUAAAGACUGAGCUUGCAAGUCAGCAGGAGAGGCAAGGCAUACUUAUAGGUGUACCACACAGAAUUUGGAAACUGGGUACCCUGAGGCAGAACCCUGAGCUUCCUCUGGAUUGAAAGACUGGAAAUUAUUUAAAGAGAGCUGAGAGAGAGUUACGGCAGAUUGAUGUAGAAUAGCAUAACAAUAACCAUUUCCGUGUCUUCCUGUGCUGGGCAAGCAAAUGUCUGCUUUUAGAGUUUGAGGUUUGACAUAAAUUCCUUUGCCAGAUGCAUUUUCAGCCUGCAGUCAAUUGUGUGUGGGGGUCUCCAUGCCUUCAGUGUCUGAAUAAAGAAAUAUUAUUUCAGGAAAUUCUGAUAUAGUCAUGGUUUUGUAAGAGAAAGGUGAUUUACAGACGGAUUUUGUUUUUCUGAAAACUCUACCAAUAACUGCAGACCAUCAACUGUGGCCAUGCUCCUGUGACAGUGAAUGGCAUCACUGAACAUUGAGAUACAGAAGCUCCUCACUCUCAUGCUUCUCCUCCUGACUCCUGCCAAGAUCCCCAGAGCUGUGUCAUCGGAUAAGCCUUUGUUGGGGCGGUUGGCUCUCCAGGACCCAAUGCAACAUUUCAGUCUCACAAAUCUGUUUUGAUUUUGUUUUUCUGUGAUGCUUUGUGGAUGUGAAUUCCCAGUGGUUUUGGCUAAGG
ensembl:lncRNA Travl-ps1 T cell receptor alpha variable like, pseudogene 1